UACGAAGGGGGCUAGCGUUGCUCGGAAUCACUGGGCGUAAAGCGCACGUAGGCGGCUUGUUAAGUCAGGGGUGAAAUCCUGGAGCUCAACUCCAGAACUGCCUUUGAUACUGGCAAUCUCGAGUCCGGGAGAGGUGAGUGGAACUGCGAGUGUAGAGGUGAAAUUCGUAGAUAUUCGCAAGAACACCAGUGGCGAAGGCGGCUCACUGGCCCGGUACUGACGCUGAGGUGCGAAAGCGUGGGGAGCAAACAGG
rnacentral:rRNA from 1 species